GUUAGUUCCCCAUUGAAUCAUGAGCUCCUUGAUGACAGGAGCCACAUCUCAUUCAUCUCUGUGUCAUCUCUGGGUUAGUUGCAUAGAUCCUGUCAUCUAGGAGAUAGAGGAGAUGAUUAAUAAAUAGUUGUUGAGUGAGGAAUGAAUGAAUGAAUGAAUGAAUGAAUGAAUGAAGGGGAGGAGGGGAGCAGGGUUAAAGGAGAAAGUGUGACCAGUGGUGAGCACGGAGCUGAGGGGAGGAAGAUCAGUACCAAGUGUUUCCUGGGAGCCUCUUGCAUCAGUAUGUCUCAGAAUGGUAGGUCCAAAACUCAUCUGUGACAGGUGUGGGGACAGAGAGAAAGCAAUCACAGAGGCAACACAGCUGCAGUAGGACUGCAAUUUCACAGCAAAUCACAGGUUCCAGAACAGGGAGGCUGUGUGGGUUGUAGCACAGCACAUGUGCCACACGGCACAGAGAGGAUCUGUGUUCUGCUACCCUGCCAUCUUGGAGCUAGCGACGGGAGCCAGGCAAAGACGGAAAGGGGACUUCGGCCAGUGAGCAGCAGAGGAGGACUAAAGAGAAGAGGGAGAAGAGGCUGGCCAGAGAUAAAGGGUGGGGUUCUGGUUGUACGGUCUCAAGCAGGUCAUUGUUUCUAAGCUUAUUCUCCUCCUCUGUAAAAUGUAGGAUGAUUCUGUAAAAUGAGGAGAUUGGAACUAGGUGAUCCGGGAUAUUCCACUGGCCUUGAAGAACAAAGGCACAGAGGCGUGACAUACUGGUGCACAUUCUAGGAUGUACUGGGAAGUCAGCACUUCUAGAGCCCAGGCUAGAUGCAGGGAAGGACUGAAGGAGAGGCUACAGAGGUGGCCAGUCCUGAAGGCUGGUGAGCCCUUCGCACACAGAGAGGGGACAAGUAUAAUGGUGGGUGCUGCCCCCAUGGAAAGCAGGCACAAGUUCCAUCAGCGGUGGAGAAACACGGAUGGGUUUUAAAACAUAGAGCUUCGAAAAAAAAAAGUGGUGGGGCACAGUGGCUCACGCCUGUAAUCCCAACACUUUGGGAGGCUGAGACAGGUGGAUCAGUUGAAGUCAGAAGUUUGAGACCAGCCUGGCCAACAUGGUGAAACCCCGUCUCUACCAAAAAUACAAAAAUUCGCCAGGCGUGGUGGUGGGCACCUAUUAUCUCAGCUAGUCGGGAGGCUGAGGCAGAAGAAUCGCUUGAACUUGGGAGGUUGCAGUGAGCUGAGAUUGCACCACUGCACACUACAGCGAGACUCUGUCUCAAAAAAAAAAAUAGUAAGAGGUGAAAUGAGAUCUAUAACACAAUACCAUUUAUAUAAAUUAAAUACAGAUUUUGCAAAAACACAUAGAGAUACACACUAAGCACAUUACUAUAGUGGCCUAUGAGAAUCAGUAUAAUGUGAUGGUUAAGAGCACAGACUCAGCCAGGCGCAGUGGCUGACGCCUGUAAUCCCAGCACUUUGGGAGGCCGAGGCGGGUGGGGUCACCUGAGGUCAGGAGUUUGAGACCAGCCUGGCCAACAUGGUGAAACCCCAUCUCUACUAAAAAUACAAAAUUAGCCGGGCACGGCGGCACAUGCCUGUAAUCCCAGCUACUCAGGAAGCUGAGGCAGGAGAAUCACUUGAACCUGGGAGGUGGAGGUUGUCAUGAGCUGAGAUUGCGCCAUUGCACUCCAGCCUGGCCAGUAAGAGUGAAACUCCGUCUCCAAAAGAAAAAAAAAGAGCACAGACUCCAGAAUUAAAUUCCUUGUAUUUGAAUCCUGGGGCUCUAACAAGUAUUAGAUGUGGGACCAAACAAGUUACUUACUUAAUCUCUCUGUACCUCAGUUUCCUCAGCUGUAAAAUGGGGAUAAUAAAAAUAUCAACCUCACAGGGGUGUUGAGCAUGAAAUUAUGCUUAGAAUGGUGUCUAGCCUUAGUAAGAGCUGUAUUAGCUCACUAGUACGAUUACAGGGAUUCAUUAAGAUGGCUAAAGUCAAAAAGACAGACAACAGCAUGAGGAGGAGGUAGAGAAUUUAGAACCUUCAUACAUUGCUGUUGGGAAUGUUAAAUGGUGUGACCAUUUGGAAAAGUCUGGUAGCUCCUCAAAAUGUUAAAUAUAGAGUUACCACAUGACCCAGCAGUUCCACUCAUAGGUAAACACCCAAGAGAAAUAAAAACAUAGAUCCAUGUACAGGAUCCACAAAAACAUGUACAGGAAUGUUCAUAGCAGCAUUAAUCAUAACAGCCAAAAAGUAGAAACAAUCCAAAUGUCCAUCAACUGAGAAUGGAUAAGCAAAAAUGUGGGCCGGGCGUGGUGGCUUACACCUAUAAUCCCAGCACUUUGGGAGGCCGAGGCAGGAGGAUGGCUUGAGCUCAGGAGUUCGAGAUCAGCCUGGGCACCAUAGUGAGACCUAGUCUCUACUAAAAUUAAAAAAAAUUAGCUGGGCAUGGUGGCAUGAGCCUGUAGUCCCAGCUACUUGGGAGGCUGAAUCAGGAGGAUCGUUUCAGCCCAGGAAAUCAAAGCUACAGUGAGGUCUGAUUGUGCCACUGUACUCCAGCCUGGGUAACAGAGUGAGAACCUGUCUCAAAAAAAAAAAAAAAAAAAAGGUGGUGUAUCUACACAAUAUCAUAGUAUUCAGCCAUAAAAAUGAAGUUCUGAUCCAUGCUACAACAUGGAUAAGCUUUGAAAACGUUAUGCUAAAUGAAAGAGGCCACUCACAAAAGACCACAUAUUGUAUGAUUCCACUUAUGUGAAAUGUCCACCACAGGCAAUCCAUAGAGACAGAAAGCAGAAGAGUGGCUCUCAGGGCUUGGAGGAGGGGAGAAAAUGGGGAAGAACUGCUAAUGGGUACAGGGUUUCUUUUUGGGGUAAGGAAAAUAUUCUAAAAACAGGUAGUGGUAAUGGUUACACAACUCCAAAUAUAUUAAAAAUCACUAAAUUAUACAUAUUAAAAGAAUACAUUUAUGGUUUGUAAAUUAUAUCUCAAUAAAAGUGUUAUUAAAAAAAGAUUAUAGGGUGGGGGAAAAGGGUGUAGUUAUCGGGGAGGAAAGGGGUGAGAAAGCCAUGCUAAGGAGUACCAACUUGAUGCUGGAGGCCGUGAGAGACACUGAACGAUUUUAAACAGGAGGAUACAGUUUGGAUGUUUGUCCCCUCCAAGUCUCAUGUUGAAAUGUGAUCCCCCAUGUUGGAGGUGAUCCUAGCUGGGAGGUGUUUGGGUCACAGGGGUGGGUCCCUCUUGAAUGGCUUGGUGCCCUCCUCACAGUAAUGAGUGAAUCCUCACACUAUUAAUUAGUUCACCCGAUAGCUGGUUGUUUAAAAGUGCCUGGUCUCUCUCUCUCUUGCCCCCUCUCCUCCCCUUCUACCAUGAGUAAAAGUUUCCUGAGGCCUCCCCAGAAGCUGAGCAGAUGCUGGUGCCAUGCUUGUACAAUCUGCAGAACCCUGAGCCAAUUAAACCUCUUUCCUUUAUAAAUUACCCAGACUCAGAUAUUCCUUUUUUUUUUUUUUUUUUUUUUUUCAGAUGGAGUCUUGCUCUGUCGCCCAGGCUGGAGUGCAGUGGUGCGAUCUCGGCUCACUGCAACCUCCACCUCUUGGGUUCAAGCAAUCCUCCUGCCUCAGCCUCCUGAGUAGCUGGGGCCACAGAUGUGUGCCACCACACCCGGCUAAUUUUUAUAUUUCCAGUAGAGAUGGGGUUUCGCCAUGUUGGCCAGGCUGAUCUCUAACUCCUGACCUCAGGUGAUCCGCCCAUCUCGGUCUCCCAAAGUGCUGGGAUUACAGGCAUGAGCCACCGUGCCCGGUGAGAUAUUCCUUUAUAGCAACACAAAAUGGACUAACACACAGGACUAACUGGAAUAGUUACAUGUGGUGACGUGAAGUAAGGUUGAAGUACAAAGGUUCCUGUAGUUGCAGAAGGAAGGGAGGAUUUGGAGGCAAAAGAACGCAGUAGGGUGGAGUGGUGGGUAUAACAACCCAGGCGAGCAAUGAGGCUCUGAGCUGACCUAAGCGCCUAAGUGCCAAGAUAAAGAUGAACCAUGGACUUUCUGUUGAGGGGGAGGCAGGCACACAGAGCAAAGGGAGGCAUCGGGUGAGGGCAUAGGGAAAGCACAGGUGUCCAGGUGACAGUUAGAGGAACUUGGUGACAGGUGUGGGCGGACUCAGGCUUAGGUGUUGCUACCAUCUUACUUCCCAGCUGGUAGUUUCUGUCCUCAAACAAAUGCAAAGACUAAAAACAGAACAAAAUCGUGUACUGGGCAGAGUGUGUGUGAAGGGUAAGAAGUGACACCUUGCCCUGUGGCCAUUCUUCAGCAACAGGGGAGGGAAUGCCCCCUGUAGAGUGGAGCCAGGCAGAGGCAGGGAGAUGGCUCCGGAAAAUAAACGAGCAGGAGGAGAAGGCAGGGGAGGAGGGGGCCAGAGGUUACAGAAGGGGACCCCCCCCUCGCCUCAGCCUCUCCCAGCCCUCAGAGAACCUGCAGCUGCUAUGAGCUGCUUGCAAGGACAUUAUAACAGGGGUCCUCACAGAAUGAAUACCCGAGGGGUAGUGGGGUGGGAAGAAUCCUUAGCCAGGGCCGGCCCAUUCCCAAGGGCAAGUCACUUCACCUGUUUGAGUACAAGAGUAAUGAAACCCAUCAUUUACUGUGGUCUAUAAAGUGCCCUCACGUUUGUAUCUCACACACUUGGUACAGCUCUUGAGAUGAGUGUUAUCGUCAUCAUCUUCGUCACUUGAGUAAAAGUGCCAAAGGAGCAUGGAUUAUAUAGUUUUUCCUUUGAUGUAGUCCAAAUGCCUAGAACAGUGACUGGCACAUAGCCCAGAUAGUCAAAACUAUUUGUUGAACGAACACUGAAUGAAUCUCAUUUUUUGUUUUACUUCCAUUUUACAAUCUAAGAAAUAGGCUCUGAAGGAUGAUGUGAUACAUCCAGAGUCACCUGGCCAGGAAGUGACAGAGCUAGAGUGGGAACUUAGGUUUAGUCCCUCAACCCAUGCCACUCCACCUCACUACUACUGCCAGCCUCAGCUCAGGGAACAGAGUAUGAGACAGAUGAUCUCCUAGGCCCUUUUGAGCUUUGAUGCUAGGGAGAAAGGGGCCUUAGAAAGACCAAGACCCUGGCCAGGCAUGGUGGCUCACGCCUGUAAUCCCAGCACUUUGGGAGGCCAAGGCAGGCAGAUCACCUGAGGUCAGGAGUUGGAGACCAGCCUGACCAACAUGGACGUUGACCAACGUCUCUACUAAAAAUAAAAAAAUUAGCCAGGCGUGGUGGCGCAUGACUGUAAUCCCAGCUACUCAGGAGGCUGAGGCAGGAGAAUUGCUUGACCCCAGGAGGUGAAGGUUGCAGACAGCCGAGAUCGCGCCAUUGCACUCCAGCCUGAGCAACAAGAGCAAAACUCCAUCUCAAAAAAAAGAAAAACAAAAAAGACCAAGAUCCAUGCUUCCAGCCUUUGGUUUCUCAAAGCCCCAGUCUUCCCAAGGCAUCCUGUGAGGCCACUUCCCUCAGAUCCAGCAGUGCAGGGAGCAGCAGGAGUUCGUAGGGCGCUCUCUGGGGCAGGGUGUGGGCCCAAAGCCAGUGCUUCCCCCUGGCCUGCUGGCACUGGCAUUUUUUUAGUCAACAAGCAUUUCCUGGGCCCUGCCCAUGCAGGGCGUGAGGCUGACCCAGGGAAGCGGACCCCGCGGAGAGCAAGGAGCCAGGCAGGACUGACUCACGCCUGGUUGCAGGAGACCUGGUUGAAGCGGCAGGCGAAGAUGAAGUUGCCCAGCGUGUCCUCCUCCAGGGAUGGCAGAGUCUCUGGCAGCCUCGACAGGAUGUUGAUGUAGUGGAAGCGGUACCACUCCCUCACCGCAUCCACCCCUGAUGAGUAUGUCUGGUAGAAGCAGUCCGAUUUGUUCUGGUUGCACUGGACACAGAGACUAGAGUCAGAGGGGACACGCAGCCGGGGAUAAGCCCCUUGGCAGGGCCAAGGGCAAAGAAUGAGUGAUCUGGGGUUCUGAGGACUGACGGACAGGAGUCGGAAGCCAGGAGUGGGGAAAGACAGAAGUGGAAGAGAAGCAGAAGUCCCUAGGAGCAUGGACCAGGGGAGCAUGGGAUUAAGGGAGUUGCAGGCCAGGAAAGGAGACCAGUAGCUGCACACACACGGUUUUGGUUCAUUUAUACCUCCCCUGCCUAGGGUGGAAGGAGCAAGACUUUCCCUCCCAUUUCACUGAUGGGAAGACUGAGGGAUCAAGAGAUUUGUCCCAGCAAGAGCUGGGACUAGGACUCCAGUCCCCAGCCCACUCUUACUAAUGGGAACUUCCCUGUCUCCUUUCCUUGGCUCCUCCCUCAUUUUCCCUUGCUCCUUUCUUUCUUUUUUUUUGGCAGACGAGCUCACUCUGUCACUCAGGCUGGAGUACAGUGGUGUGAUCAAGGCUCACAGCAGUCUCCAUCUCCCGAGUUCAAGCAAUUCUCCCAUCUCAGCCUCCUAAGUAGCUGGAACUACAGGCUUGUGCCACCACAUGGGCUAAUUUUUGUAUUUUUUUUUUGUAGAGAUGGGGUUUCACUAUGUUGACCAGGCUGGUCUAAAACUCCUGGGCUCAGGUGAUCUGCACGCCUAGGCCUCCCAAAGUGCUGGGAUUACAGGCAUGAGCCACCGCCCCCAGCUAAGUUUCCUUUUUUUACUGUCUCCUUAUUCUCUAUCUUGGGCUGUUAGCCCAGUUCUCCAUCACGCUGGAGGGUCCUAACUGAGUCCCACUAGUGGGCACUGGAAUUCAGAAAGUUGCAUUUUCCUUCCUGAAUCAAGGACCAGAAACAGUAAAACAAUAAUAAUAAUAAUAAUAAUAAAAGUUCAUUUUCCAUAAUAAAUUUGACUUCCUACCCCUGAAAUGCUUCUACAUAGGACCCCAGGGAGGAGGCCCCAAAAGCUUGGGCACCAAGAGGUGUUAUUUUAAUUAUCUAGUUAUUAUUUGUAUUUAUUUACUUUUUUUUUUGCCCGCGAGCCCACGAGGCCCCGCGUGGUGUCACUGGGCUGCGCGGGCGGGUCAGGAAAGGAGCGGAGCCCAUGGGUGGGCGGGGCCAGGGGCCGGCGAGGGGCGGGGCGGGCCCCUCGGCGCUGCGGGCCUCACCAGCUGGAAGCCGAUCUUCCAGUCCUUCCAGUCCACCUGGGGGUUGUUGUCCCGCAAGCUGGAGGCCACGCUACGGGCUCGACGGGCCCCGUGAGG
rnacentral:lncRNA from 10 species